UAGUGAGUGAUAUGUUCCAAGUUGCAAUUGCAUUUAUUUUAAGUUGGACUUGAAACAAAAACAAUUGCAGCAAUGUUGAGAGAAAACUGCAUCUAUAAUCAGAAAAUUGUUGCGAUUGUUUAUUUCCACUCUGUUGCAUCUUAUUAUUUUAGUUGAAGUUCGUAUGUCCAACCUUAUUGUAGUUUUGCUUUGAAGAAAACUAUGCUUGCAUUGCAGUGUUUUAGAUAUUUUUUUCCUUUUCCUUUUUUGAAGUUGGAUGUUGUAUCUUGGAUACCAUUUCUCAUUUUGGUUAUUGGAUUGGCAUUAUGAAUGCAGAUGGAAGGACAAUCCAGUAAUACAAGAUUCGUGAAUUCCCAAUGCUUUCAGACAACCGAACAAGCUGUAGUUGUUCAUCAGCCAAGCAAAAGUCAUACCUAAAUCUUGCGUUGUGACUUUGUAUUAUUUGUGGAACCUAAUGUUGUGCAAUAGUUUGAUUGAGUUUGUUUUGAAAACUUUAAAUAGUAAACAUGUGAGAUUGAUUGUUUGAUUGAGUUGUUAACUAUUUUGUUGGUAUUAUGGCUUUUAUGAUUGAUUGUUUCAUGAGUGGAUUGAAUGAAUGGAUUAGUAGUUUAAAUAAAUAUUUAAAAAAAUUAAACAUUUUUAGCCUCAA